rnacentral:rRNA from 1 species
UCCAAUCGAACUCGGAGAUAGCUGGUUCUCCCCGAAAUAGCUUUAGGGCUAGCGUCGGAUAUGUGUAGUGGAGGUAGAGCACUGAAUGGGCUAGGGGGCAUAUCGCUUACCGAACCUUAUCAAACUCCGAAUGCCAUAUACAUUUAGUCCGGCAGUCAGACUACGAAUGAUAAGAUCCGUGGUCAAAAGGGAAACAGCCCAGAUCGUCAGCUAAGGUCCCAAAGUGUAAGUUAAGUGGAAAAGGAUGUGGGAUUUCUAAGACAACUAGGAUGUUGGCUUAGAAGCAGCCACUCAUUUAAAGAGUGCGUAAUAGCUCACUAGUCGAGAGAUCCUGCGCCGAAAAUGUCCGGGGCUAAAACUUACCACCGAAGCUACGGGCUUGCGUAAGCAAGCGGUAGGGGAGCGUCGUAAUCGGGCUGAAGUCGUACCGUAAGGAGCGGUGGACUGAUUACGAGUGAGAAUGUUGGCAUUAGUAGCGAGAUGUAGGUGAGAAUCCUACAGGCCGAAUAUCUAAGGUUUCCUCAGGAAGGCUCGUCCGCUGAGGGUUAGUCGGGACCUAAGCCGAGGCCGAAAGGCGUAGGCGAUGGACAACAGGUUGAUAUUCCUGUACCACUACCAUCGUUAUUAUCGAGGGUGUGACGGAGAAGGAUAGUGUGUGCUAGCGAUUGGAAAUGCUAGUCUAAGCGUUUAGGCAGUUACGGUAGGCAAAUCCGCUGUAAUGUUAAUGCUGAGGCGUGAUGGGGAAGGCCCUUGAGGCUGAAGUACAUGAUUCCAUGCUUCCAAGAAAAGCAUCUAGAGAGAGAAGUAGUGCCCGUACCGCAAACCGACACAGGUAGAUGAGGAGAGAAUCCUAAGGCCGGCGGAAGAAUUGCAGUUAAGGAACUAGGCAAAUUGACCCCGUAAGUUAGCGAGAAGGGGUGCCUGCGAGAGCAGGCCGCAGAGAAUAGGCCCAAGCAACUGUUUAGCAAAAACACAGGUCUCUGCUAAAGCGCAAGCUGAUGUAUAGGGGCUGACGCCUGCCCGGUGCUGGAAGGUUAAGGGGAACACUUAGCGCAAGCGAAGGUGUGAACUUAAGCCCCAGUAAACGGCGGCCGUAACUAUAACGGUCCUAAGGUAGCGAAAUUCCUUGUCAGGUAAGUUCUGACCCGCACGAAUGGCGUAAUGACUUGGGCACUGUCUCAACUGCAAAUCCGGCGAAGUUGUAGUGCGAGUGAAGAUGCUCGCUACCCGCGAUUGGACGGAAAGACCCCGUAGAGCUUUACUGUAGCUUAGCAUUGAAUUCCGGUAUUGUCUGUACAGGAUAGGUGGGAGACUGGGAAACUAGGGCGUCAGCCUUAGUGGAGUCAUCCUUGGGAUACCACCCUGACAGUACUGGGGUUCUAACAGGACGCCAUGAAUCUGGUGACUGGACAUUGUUAGGUGGGCAGUUUGACUGGGGCGGUCGCCUCCUAAAAAGUAACGGAGGCGCCCAAAGGUUCCCUCAGAACGGUCGGAAAUCGUUCGUAGAGUGCAAAGGCAGAAGGGAGCCUGACUGCGAGACCUACAAGUCGAGCAGGGACGAAAGUCGGGCUUAGUGAUCCGGUGGUACCUCGUGGGAGGGCCAUCGCUCAACGGAUAAAAGCUACCUCGGGGAUAACAGGCUGAUCUCCCCCAAGAGUCCACAUCGACGGGGAGGUUUGGCAC